CGCCUACGGGUGGCAGCAGUGGGGAAUUUUGGACAAUGGACGCAAGUCUGAUCCAGCCAUGCCGCGUGCGGGAAGAAGGCCUUCGGGUUGUAAACCGCUUUUGUCAGGGAAGAAAAGGUUCUGGUUAAUACCUGGGACUCAUGACGGUACCUGAAGAAUAAGCACCGGCUAACUACGUGCCAGCAGCCGCGGUAAUACGUAGGGUGCAAGCGUUAAUCGGAAUUACUGGGCGUAAAGCGUGCGCAGGCGGUCAUGCAAGACAGAUGUGAAAUCCCCGGGCUCAACCUGGGAACUGCAUUUGUGACUGCAUGACUUGAGUACGGGAGAGGGGGAUGGAAUUCCGCGUGUAGCAGUGAAAUGCGUAGAUAUGCGGAGGAACACCGAUGGCGAAGGCAAUCCCCUGGACCUGUACUGACGCUCAUGCACGAAAGCGUGGGGAGCAAACAGGAUUAGAUACCCCAGUAGUCA
rnacentral:rRNA from 1 species